CCUCACACAACGAUCUCGUCAUCAUCUGUGGAGACUUCAACGAGGACCUCCUACACCCUGGAAAAAAACCUAUUCUGGAGUUGUUUCAAUCUCGAGGAUACACGCAACUGAUUACAUCAGCGACAACGGAAAAGCACACACUACUUGACCACAUCUACAUUUCAAAUCCGGACUUCUGCCAUCAAUCGGGCGUGUUACAGACCUACCACAGUUACCACAAUCCUGUGUACUGUGUAUUGCGUUUUUUUUCAUAGGUGAAUUGCCCGCUAUACCAGGUCACUGGGGCCACUGAAUCAGCAUUAACGACAACAGUGGGGCUACACCAGCCUUAGUUCCCCAGUGGCUUUUGUAUCAGUGGUGUCUUGGCCUUAAGCCAUGCGGAACUGGGGUUCCAUUUAACCUCCUUUAUCGGCGACAGUGACGUUGCGCUUAUAUUGUGUUGUCCGUGGUAAUAUGAAGGUGUUGUGUCCCUGAGUUAUCUAGAGUUCAGCAGCAGGAAGGACGAAGGAGUAGUGUGGCAGCUCCAGGCAGGACAGGAAGUGAAGGCAGCAGAAUACAGGACACAGUCAGGAUUAGUGAAGAUUUUGGAGACCAUAGCAGUCCUCUGCAACACUGGAUAUGAGUGUGCAAUAUACCAUCUAAAGGAACCGGCGAGUCAGAAUGUCUGAGAAGAUCAAGUGUGCUUCUCCACUGAUGAUGAUGAGCUGGAUACCAGCUUAUGGGCUAAUUUCUUUCAAGGACGGGACCAGAUGUGUUUGGAGUUGAAGACAAUGCUGAAGACCAAAGAAGCAAUGGAAGAAGCACAUUACAGCACUGAGGGUGUCCAGCCUGUUUGCCAUGUCAGAUCCAGCGGCUAGAUGGCGGGAGAUGCUUCAAUACCUGAUUGCAUUUAAUCAUUAGAUGAUCGAUUAAUCAAUUUUAAUAUAUUUUUAAAUGAUCUUAUUAUAUUAAAUAAUUGGUCUCAGUUUACUAUUUCAUAUAUUAGCUUGAAUAAGAAUGUUCUUAUAAUGUGUACGCCAUGCCCGAGGAGGAUGGGUUCCCCCUGAUGAGUCUGGUUCCUCUCAAGGUUUUUUAUCUCCUUAAGAGUUUUUUCCUUGCCACCGUCGCCACUGGCUUGCUCACUGGGGGUGUUGUGUCAAAUCCUGUGUCCCUCUUGCAUCCCUGCCGACCAGGGUUUCCAAAACAACAGUUUGCGACUCAAUAAUUUUUUUUUUAUUAAAUCAUAGAAAUUUAAACAUAAAAUUGAAAUCAUGUU